UACGUAGGGCGCAAGCGUUGUCCGGAAUUAUUGGGCGUAAAGAGCUCGUAGGCGGCCUGUUGCGUCCGCUGUGAAAUCCCGGGGCUCAACCCCGGACCUGCAGUGGAUACGGGCUGGCUAGAGGCAGGCAGGGGAGAACGGAAUUCCUGGUGUAGCGGUGAAAUGCGCAGAUAUCAGGAGGAACACCGGUGGCGAAGGCGGUUCUCUGGGCCUGUACUGACGCUGAGGAGCGAAAGCGUGGGGAGCAAACAGG
rnacentral:rRNA from 1 species